UCAUCCCAAAAGUGCCCCUAAAAGGAAACUCUAAUUUGUGGGAGAACUCCAAAAGUCAAGUACAUACAUGGUAAUUUUGCUAUGUAGCUUUUCCGCCUUUGUUUUCCCGCCUGUCUGUCCUCCCGAUCUAUAAAAAAACCAUGGGACUGGAAACUCCUCAUAACUCAGAGUCUCGAACCACCCAACUCACUCUGUUUGUCAACCGGUUAGCUUACUGAUUCAAAGCAAAAGCUUCUCUGAGUUUUUGUGUUAUCCUAUUAUAAGAACACAACUUUAAAGUGCGUUAAUACCGGUUCAGACUGAAGAGAAUGGAAGGUGUAUCUGAGAUAAAGUUAUGUACUAAUGGAUUGGAAUCUGUUGAAUGUGGAAACCAAAAUGCUCCUUUGAUGGAGAUUGGAUUAGGGAAUUAUGGGUGCUCGCAUUACAGAAGGAGAUGUAAGAUCAGAGCACCAUGUUGCAAUGAGAUCUUUGAUUGUAGACAUUGUCAUAACGAAGCUAAAAAUUCCUUGGAAUCUAAUCCUCUUCAGCGACAUGAUAUUCCACGCCAUGAAAUUGAAAAGAUCAUUUGCUCCCUAUGUGACACAGAACAAGAUGUACAACAGUGUUGCAUCAAUUGCGGAGUCUGUAUGGGGAAGUACUUCUGUUCUAAAUGCAAAUUCUUUGACGAUGAUGUUUCCAAAAACCAAUACCACUGUGAUGAAUGUGGCAUAUGCAGAACUGGAGGUGAGGAGAACUUCUUUCACUGCGACAAAUGUGGAUGUUGCUAUGCAAAAUUAAUGAGGGAUGCACAUCGUUGUGUGGAGAGAGCAAUGCACUGCAAUUGCCCUGUUUGCUUUGAGUUUCUUUUUGACACAAUGAAAGAUGUUACUGUCUUACCUUGCGGACAUACAAUGCAUUUGGAAUGUUUGCGAGAGAUGGAGCAACAUUAUCGGUACUCUUGUCCAGUCUGCUCGAAAUCUAUCUGUGAUAUGUCCAAUUGGUGGAGAAAGCUCGAUCAAGAGAUUGCCUCAACCCCUAUGCCUGCAAUAUACCAAAAUAAGAUGGUAUGGAUUCUCUGCAACGAUUGUGGAGCCACCUCCCAUGUCCAGUUCCAUAUUGUGGCACAUAAAUGCCUGAAUUGCAAGUCCUACAAUACAAGACAGACACAGGGAGGCCGUGAUGCUUCAUGCUCAUCAGGGAUGUCUGAGAUGGUGAGCUGACCACAGCUUUGACAAAAGGUAUUCAGACCGACGAACGACUUUGCCACUAUGAUUCUUAACAACAUGAUAAAAGAGCUAGUGGCAAAAGAACACGAAGAAGCUUCAUGGACAAAAAAAGCUAGAUAGAACAGAUCCUGGAACAGCUUUCCCUUCCUAGUUGUUUUACCAAUCUAGCAAGGCUGGACCUUGAUCCCUCAAACAAAAUGUAUGACAUUUUGAAAUAGGAAUUUGGCAUUGGCACAACCCUUAAAGACAAUAAGACCGUGGAACAAUGGUAAGGACAAUACGAUCAAUGGUCGGUCGUCACUCGUCACUGACUUGCUUGGACGAGUAGGAAGCAAGGAUGUCAUUUCUAAGGGCGAACAAAUCAAGACCAGCAAAUGGAACAAGUCAUAUUAUUAUCAAACAAGUGCCUAAAAGACCAUGUAAAGCCCAACGAACAAGGGCCCGUCUCACAUAACAUAGUCUAAAAUUCGAAGUGUAAUGUUAGAUAAAGCCUGUGGGAAUCGAACGGUUGUUAAAGUAGUAUUGAGUUAGCCAUUCUGUUAUGGGCUUUGAAGU